UACGAAGGGGGCUAGCGUUGCUCGGAAUCACUGGGCGUAAAGGGUGCGUAGGUGGUGGGGUAAGUCGGAUGUGAAAUCCCGGGGCUCAACCCCGGAACUGCAUUCGAUACUGCCUUGCUCGAGUACUGGAGAGGAGACUGGAAUUUACGGUGUAGCAGUGAAAUGCGUAGAUAUCGUAAGGAAGACCAGUGGCGAAGGCGAGUCUCUGGACAGUUACUGACACUGAGGCACGAAGGCCAGGGGAGCAAACGGG
rnacentral:rRNA from 1 species